GACGAACGCUGGCGGCGUGCCUAAUACAUGCAAGUCGAACGAACUCUGGUAUUGAUUGGUGCUUGCAUCAUGAUUUACAUUUGAGUGAGUGGCGAACUGGUGAGUAACACGUGGGAAACCUGCCCAGAAGCGGGGGAUAACACCUGGAAACAGAUGCUAAUACCGCAUAACAACUUGGACCACAUGGUCCGAGUUUGAAAGAUGGCUUCGGCUAUCACUUUUGGAUGGUCCCGCGGCGUAUUAGCUAGAUGGUGGGGUAACGGCUCACCAUGGCAAUGAUACGUAGCCGACCUGAGAGGGUAAUCGGCCACAUUGGGACUGAGACACGGCCCAAACUCCUACGGGAGGCAGCAGUAGGGAAUCUUCCACAAUGGACGAAAGUCUGAUGGAGCAACGCCGCGUGAGUGAAGAAGGGUUUCGGCUCGUAAAACUCUGUUGCUAAAGAAGAACAUAUCUGAGAGUAACUGUUCAGGUAUUGACGGUAUUUAACCAGAAAGCCACGGCUAACUACGUGCCAGCAGCCGCGGUAAUACGUAGGUGGCAAGCGUUGUCCGGAUUUAUUGGGCGUAAAGCGAGCGCAGGCGGUUUUUUAAGUCUGAUGUGAAAGCCUUCGGCUCAACCGAAGAAGUGCAUCGGAAACUGGGAAACUUGAGUGCAGAAGAGGACAGUGGAACUCCAUGUGUAGCGGUGAAAUGCGUAGAUAUAUGGAAGAACACCAGUGGCGAAGGCGGCUGUCUGGUCUGUAACUGACGCUGAGGCUCGAAAGUAUGGGUAGCAAACAGGAUUAGAUACCCUGGUAGUCCAUACCGUAAACGAUGAAUGCUAAGUGUUGGAGGGUUUCCGCCCUUCAGUGCUGCAGCUAACGCAUUAAGCAUUCCGCCUGGGGAGUACGGCCGCAAGGCUGAAACUCAAAGGAAUUGACGGGGGCCCGCACAAGCGGUGGAGCAUGUGGUUUAAUUCGAAGCUACGCGAAGAACCUUACCAGGUCUUGACAUACUAUGCAAAUCUAAGAGAUUAGACGUUCCCUUCAGGGACAUGGAUACAGGUGGUGCAUGGUUGUCGUCAGCUCGUGUCGUGAGAUGUUGGGUUAAGUCCCGCAACGAGCGCAACCCUUAUUAUCAGUUGCCAGCAUUAAGUUGGGCACUCUGGUGAGACUGCCGGUGACAAACCGGAGGAAGGUGGGGAUGACGUCAAAUCAUCAUGCCCCUUAUGACCUGGGCUACACACGUGCUACAAUGGAUGGUACAACGAGUUGCGAACUCGCGAGAGUAAGCUAAUCUCUUAAAGCCAUUCUCAGUUCGGAUUGUAGGCUGCAACUCGCCUACAUGAAGUCGGAAUCGCUAGUAAUCGCGGAUCAGCAUGCCGCGGUGAAUACGUUCCCGGGCCUUGUACACACCGCCCGUCACACCAUGAGAGUUUGUAACACCCAAAGUCGGUGGGGUAACCUUUUAGGAACCAGCCGCCUAAGGUGGGACAGAUGAUUAGGGUG
rnacentral:rRNA from 2 species